rnacentral:rRNA from 1 species
GUCCACGCCGUAAACGAUGAUAACUAGCUGUCCGGGUACUUGGUAUCUGGGUGGCGCAGCUAACGCAUUAAGUUAUCCGCCUGGGGAGUACGGUCGCAAGAUUAAAACUCAAAGGAAUUGACGGGGGCCUGCACAAGCGGUGGAGCAUGUGGUUUAAUUCGAAGCAACGCGCAGAACCUUACCAGCGUUUGACAUCCCGCGCUACCCAGAGAGAUUUGGGGUUCCCUUCGGGGGACGCGGUGACAGGUGCUGCAUGGCUGUCGU